CUGUCCGGCGACAAGGAGAAGGAGUCGGACGACUUCAUCGACAUCUUCCUCUCCAGAUACGAGGAGUACGGCUUCACCAUGGAUAACGUCAAGUCCCUCCUCAUGGUAAUCGAUUCCAUCGUCGUCCUCCUCAUUAUUAUUUUGGGCUAGAAUCCAUGCAUAUAUAUAGGCUGAGGCUCUCAACGUAAUUAACUUCCUUUCCAUGUGGCCGGCCGGCUUGACAAAACAGAACGUGUUCGAGGCAGCCAUCGAGACCUCAUAUCUGGUGCUGGAGUCCGCCAUGGCCGAGCUCAUGAACCACAGGCGCGUCAUGAAGAAGCUGCAAGCGGAGGUACGGGCGUACGGAGCGGAGAAGAAGCUGGACAUGAUCAGGGAGGACGACCUGAGCAGCCUGCCGUACCUAAAGGCGUCCAUGAAGGAAGCGCUGCGGCUGCACCCACCGGGGCCCCUGCUGCUGCCGCACUACUCCACCGCCGACUGCCAGAUCGACGGGUACCACAUCCCCGCCAACACGCGCGUCCUCGUGAACGGCUGGGCCAUCGGCAGAGACCCGGCGGUCUGGGAGAAGCCCGAGGAGUUCAUGCCGGAGAGGUUCAUGCGGGACGGCUGGGACAAGUCCAACAGCUACAGCGGCCAGGACUUCAGGUACCUGCCGUUCGGGUCUGGGCGCCGGAUCUGCCCCGGGGCCAACUUCGCGCUCGCGACCAUGGAGAUCAUGCUCGCCAACCUCAUGUACCAUUUCGACUGGGAGGUCCCCAAUGAGAAGGAAGACGGUGGCGGGAAGGUGAGCAUGGACGAGACGUUCGGGCUGAUGCUUCGCAGGAACGAGCCGCUCUACCUUGUUCCUAGGGCCGUCUAGCUAGCUAGUUACUGUGCCGCCGCCGCCUCCUAUCCAAGAAUGCAUGAGUCUUAGACGUGUGGCAGUAAUAAUUGCG
rnacentral:lncRNA from 1 species